CGAACGCUGGCGGCUUGCUUAACACAUGCAAGUCGAGCGGAAAGGCCCUUCGGGGUACUCGAGCGGCGAACGGGUGAGUAACACGUGAGCAACCUGCCCCAAGCUUUGGGAUAACCCUCGGAAACGGGGGCUAAUACCGAAUAUUACUUCUGGCCGCAUGGCUGGUGGUGGAAAGUUUUUCGGCUUGGGAUGGGCUCGCGGCCUAUCAGCUUGUUGGUGGGGUGAUGGCCUACCAAGGCGACGACGGGUAGCCGGCCUGAGAGGGCGACCGGCCACACUGGGACUGAGACACGGCCCAGACUC
rnacentral:rRNA from 1 species